UUUAGCACACUAGUGGGCUAAGUAUUAAGUGACAUCUCUAACAGCUGUAUCCCAGAAAAUAAAAUGGUCCUAGUGAAAAUAUUGCACUAUGCCCACCAAAAUAUGCAGCUGUUCAUAUUGCAGUAGUCACCAACACAUAAUGUCUGUGGUUUUGCAAAGUCCAAAGUACUUUGCAAAACCACAGACAUUAGAGAUUGAAAAUACCUAUCAGGUGAUUAAUGAGAGAUGGCCCAAACCCAGAAUCUCAAAACCAAACUUCUGAGGAGUUUGGAUUCAACUCAGGGGAUCCAACUUUGGCCCUAUUGGGUGAUCCAGAAAUUCCAGGAUGGAGCCAAAACAGGAAAGUUUGUAUUUUCCAGUUCCAAUUCAGAUGAACCCAAAAUACUACACAAACAAGGCAAAUUCAUAAGAGUUUGCCCAAGAUGGGAUAACUAUUGUGUGAAAAGAUGGUCUUAGUUCAGAUUCAGAUUCAGUGAUGCUGAAAUCUCCCACCCCCAACUCUAACUGGCCUAGAUCAGAACAUAUGGCUUAUAUCUAAAUUAAAACUAUCCAGGUUGUCUUCCUCCCUUUCCAUCUACUCCAAGACUGUUCUUAAUGUUGUAUUGAUGUUUCUAAAUCACAGUUUAUUAUAAGUAAUCAUGUAAACUAUAGUUCAAAUUAACCAUCAUUGAUAUUAAUCAAAUAUUCAACUCUAUUUUUGUUCAUAGCAUUAACACACCGUUCUAGAGACAACAGUUAUAUAAAUAAAAUGCAGGCAUGUUGCCUUAGAUCCACACCUUUUAAAGAAUAUUGUUCAAACACAUACCCUAUACAAAUGCCACAACAUUGAUCUGCACGAUCAUAUGUACAUCAAAUGCAAACUAACAAAUGAAAUCACUAAAAACUCUAAGGUGGAUUCCUGUGUUUUGUCCAGUCUAUUUUUUAAAGUCAAGGAACAACAAUGAAAAAAGAAUAAUAAAAAAAUACAUUAAACAAGCCCCCAAAUUUACAGGCUGGCAUUGGUUAGGCUAGUGACUACUGAGACCAUCAUGACUGUUGGCAAAGGUAAUCACACCUAUCUCUGAUGUUACCUUGUCCUUUCACUCCUCUGUUGUAUAGUGAAUCUAUAUCCUACAUUUAAAGACCCCUGGGACAAGGCAUUUGUUUGCAGAACACCUUGUAAAUGGGGCUCCUGGGGACCUGUUUGGGGUCUCUAGACACCACUACAAUAGAAAUAUACAUUAAUAAUUGAUAGAUAGUAAGUGAAAACAUAUUAUUUAUGUCUGACUUAAAACUACAGCAUUGGAUAGGGAAUAUAAAGAGUGAAGAAUGAAACAUGUCUGAUUUCUAUACCAUUCAUUUAAAAUCUUUUGUGUGUGACAGGGUGCAUAGAGCCUCCCUGAUUUCCAGCAAACAAAGAGUUAACUCCUGCUUCCCCCUCACACAGGUAGUCAUGGGCAAGUAAUGAAGCAGGGCUGGAGACUCAAACUCCAAUCAGGCUGCUGGGAGAAUUCAGCAAACUCUAUAAGAACAGCUACUUGGGUGAUAGUAAAUCCUUAGGAAGGGUGCAUUUCACAUGAAGUUAUUCUAGGGGCUGGCUUAUAGUAUAGGUAUUUUUAAUGGGGUGGGUUUUGUUCCUUUUUCUUUUUGAAUUAUGUAAAGCAAUUUAGAAAUCAUUCUUACCGUACCCAGUGUAAAACCUUGAGGAGGAAAAUUUGCUGAUUGGAAGACUGAGUUUCCUAUCAUUGAACCAGUUGAUCGUUUCACCAGCUUCCACUAAGACUGGAUUUCUAACAAGGAAGCUCUAAACAAGGACUGAUGAUCUCCAACCUGUUUGGAUGAAUUUAUCUGCAUGACCUUGUCACCAUUUUGCAGAUGGGUAUUAAAAGUGAAUUGCAAGGAGCAGUUUCAACAGAUAUUAAACCUCCCAUACGAAUUCAGUCUGCUUCCUACAGGACACUUUGCCAGGCACCCUUGUUAAUGACAUUGAUCUAUAAGCAUUCAAGAUGACUUUCGUCCAAGGUGCCAGUGACUCAAACAGGUUGCUGUAUCCUCUGGCUUUCUGAAGCUUAGUGCUGGAUAUCCUGGAAGCAGGACAGGACAAGGAGAAAAAAGAGCACCCAGAGCACUUUGAGGUGGUAACUAAAAAGAAAGCAAAGACAGGUGUAGAGGUUUGUGUCCAUGUAUGUUACUGAAUGGAACCAUGAGAAGGGUGGACUGUGGACCAGGCCAUAUUUCAACUGUUAGUAGGCUAAUGUUGUGGCUGUCUGGACUGACAGUGGCUACAGUUGUAGAUGCCCAAAUCUAUGUUUGAUUUCUGGUGCGUAGAGCUGGCAGCUGCCUUUCAGUGGAAAACAACCCUGGAAAAAAUCUGCUAUGAACAAGAGCAUUGCCCUCACACUCUGGAAAGUGGUCAUGAAUGCAGACUGUUCCUCCUCACAGAGCUCUCUGGUGUGGGAAAGAUCACAACAGCAGAAGAUGCUCUGCUGGAGCAGUGCACCACAAUGAAGCAGGUGCUGCUGACCUAUGGAAUCAAGGUUACUAAUAUCUCUGAAAUAAUGGAAGAGUUGGAAUAAUCUUGAGGUUUCCUAAGCUGUGCUGGGGCUAUUGAUGGAACUCGCAUCUCAAUUCUUUGCCCCUUCUCAAUAGGUCAUGGAGUUCUACCACCAUAAGUCAUACGGGCUGUGGUGGAUCACAGAAGACCCUUAAUGGAUGUAAGCCUGGCAAGAUUCAGGAUGCCAAAAUAUUAGAGAAUUCCAGAAUGUACAGGAAGAGACAGGUAGGGACACAGUUCUCCAGCAACAGGGAAAGAAUGGUGCAUCUGCUAACUCUUUCUCUGGAACUCUGCCAUCCUUUGUGGCACUGGCUGAUGGAAACUGUGCCCCAAAUUAUGAGGCUGUUGAUUCUGCCAUUGCCGCAGCUGCCCUGUGAUAGUAGCUAAUUAUGGUCUUUGGGAGAUCAAGAUGCCUACUGAUGUAAAAUGACACACCUCUUGAGGUUUUUUAGUGUUUCAAAGAAGCAGCAGUAAUUUUUUGAUCUUAUAUACACACACACACACAGACUGUGUUGUGUGAAGAAAUA